rnacentral:rRNA from 1 species
CUAAGCCGAGGCCGAAAGGCGUAGGUGAUGGACAACAGGUUGAUAUUCCUGUACCGCCAAUAAGCGUUUGAGAGAUGGAGUGACACAGUAGGAUAAGCUAACCGUACUGUUGGUUAUGUACGGCUAAGCAUUGAGGCAGUCUAAAUAGGCAAAUCCGUUUAGACAAUGCUAGGAUGUGAUGGGGAAGCCCUUCGGGGCGAAGUAGCUGAUUUCACACUGUCAAGAAAAGCUUCUAUCGAGUUUAAAGGCGCCCGUACCGUAAACCGACACAGGUGGGUGAGGAGAGUAUCCUAAGGCCAGCGAGAGAACUAUUGUUAAGGAACUCGGCAAAAUGACCCCGUAACUUAGGGAGAAGGGGUGCCUGUCUAUGACAGGCCGCAGAGAAUAGGCCCAAGCGACUGUUUACCAAAAACACAGGUUUCUGCUAAGUCGCAAGACGAUGUAUAGGAGCUGACGCCUGCCCGGUGCUGGAAGGUUAAGGGGAUCUGUUAGAGCAAUCGAAGCAGUGAACUUAAGCCCCAGUAAACGGCGGCCGUAACUAUAACGGUCCUAAGGUAGCGAAAUUCCUUGUCGGGUAAGUUCCGACCCGCACGAAAGGCGUAACGAUUUGGGCACUGUCUCAACAAUAGACUCGGUGAAAUUGUAAUCCCGGUGAAGAUGCCGGGUACCUGCGACAGGACGGAAAGACCCCAUGGAGCUUUACUGUAGCUUGACGUUGGGUCUUGGUACUACAUGUACAGGAUAGGUGGGAGACUAUGAAGCAUGGACGCCAGUCUGUGUGGAGUCAUCCUUGGGAUACCACCCUUGUAGUACUGGGAUCCUAACCAUAGGCCUUGAAUCAGGUCUUGGAACACCGUCAGGUGGGCAGUUUGACUGGGGCGGUCGCCUCCUAAAAAGUAACGGAGGCGCUCAAAGGUUUCCUCAGCACGGUCGGAAAUCGUGCGAAGAGUGUAAAGGCAAAAGGAAGCUUGAUUGCAAGACAUACAGGUCGAGCAAGGACGAAAGUCGGACUUAGUGAUCCGGUGGUACCGCAUGGAAGGGCCAUCGCUCAACGGAUAAAAGCUACCCUGGGGAUAACAGGCUGAUCUCCCCCAAGAGUCCACAUCGACGGGGAGGUUUGGCACCUCGAUGUCGGCUCAUCACAUCCUGGGGCUGUAGUAGGUCCCAAGGGUUGGGCUGUUCGCCCAUUAAAGUGGUACGCGAGCUGGGUUCAGAACGUCGUGAGACAGUUCGGUCCCUAUCCGUCGCAGGCGUAGGAAAUUUGAGAAGACCUGUCCUUAGUACGAGAGGACCGGGAUGGACGUACCUCUGGUGUACCAGUUGUUCUGCCAAGGGCAUGGCUGGGUAGCUAUGUACGGAAUGGAUAAGCGCUGAAAGCAUCUAAGCGCGAAGCCAACUUCAAGAUAAGAUUUCCCACCGUAAGGGUAAGACCCCAGGAAGACUACCUGGUUGAUAGGUCGAAGGUGUAAGUGCAGUAAUGUAUUUAGCUUAUCGAUACUAAUAGGUCGAGGACUUGACCAA